AACAAACUGUUCUUCUAAGGGACAAAACACGAGAAGGGUACUUCCUAUAUUAUUCCACUUAACAGCAUCUUGUUCUGUGUAAUACACACACACACACACACACACACACACACACACACACGACAUUCUUGAAAUAAAACGAACAAAAAGCAGAUUCAUGGGGUUGGGAAGAUGGGUCAGUGGGUAAGAAUGUCCCCUCUGCAACCACAAAGACUCGAGUUUAAAUACCCUGCUUCCAUGUAAAAAGCCAGGCGCGCCUACAGGAGCCUUAACCUCAGCACUGGGGCCAGAGUGGCAGGUCUGGAGAGCUUGCUGGCCAGUCAGUGAGCUUCUGGUUCAGCAAGAGACUAUGUCUCAAGGCAAUCAGAUGGGGGCGGGGGCGGGGUGGUAAAUCUAACCACCUGCUCCGGAGAAACACGUGGUCCUCUCCGGGCACUCAGGUGUAUCACGUGCACGUGCCUGCGCACCCACACCACGCCAAACAGUAACACAUCUCUCCUAAAACCGUCAACCAAAGUAGUGGUUACAAGAGACAGGAGCCCAGCAUGGCCGUACUUGGAAAGGCCCAACAAGCAGCUGGAGGAGCCAGAUGCAAAUGCUUACACCCAACCAAUGAUCCGAAGCUGGGGACCUCUGUGGUUAAAUUACGGAAAAGUUGGAAGAAGCUGAGGUGGAGGGUGGCUCCAUUGGAAGACCCCAGUCUCAACUGACCUGGAUCCUCGAGAUCUCUCAGAUACUGGGCCACCAACCAGGCAGCAUACAUCAGCUGGUAGGAGGACCCAGACACAGAUACAGCAGAGGACUGCCUUGCCUGGCCUUAGCGAGAGAAGAUGGACCGAGAGAACGGUCCAGAUACUUGAGGCCCCAGAGAAUCGGG
ensembl:lncRNA